GCAAACUUGGUCAUUUAGAGGAAGUAAAAGUCGUAACAAGGUUUCCGUAGGUGAACCUGCGGAAGGAUCAUUAACACUAAUGCCAUCCAAAACCUUUUGGAUCAACCCAACCUUGAGCGAACCGUUCGAUACCUUUUUUUCCUUGCCUUUUUGAUUCAAACGCAACCUUGUCUGAGUAAAGUGUCUGAUUCUUAUUCUCGAGGCCACAUCCCUUUUGCGGGUAUGGUUUUCGGGAAUCAAAAUCUAACGCAAUACAACUCUUAACAACGGAUAUCUUGGCUCUCGCAUCGAUGAAGAACGCAGC
rnacentral:misc_RNA from 1 species